rnacentral:misc_RNA from 1 species
GGCAAUUUCAUCGAGUGUUGUUCGUUAUAAUUAAUUAAAACAUUGCAUUAUUAGUUGUGUGAAAGUUGAAUUAUAGUACACUAAUGACUAUCAUAGAUGAGUGGAAGUUGUAUAUAUGUGUAGAAGGUUCGAGCAUCAUGUGUAAUUAUUUACAAUUAAUUCAUUAUUUUCCUCUUCUUUUUUCCAAUUUCAUUAAAUUUUCAAACAGGAGAUAUAAUUUAUCCACGGCUUCUUUUCUUUUUCUCUCUGUCUAUUCUUUCAUUAAAACGAAGCAUUAAGCUAAUAAUCAAGAAAUUAGGCUUUGCUUGCAUUAGGUUUUAUUUUCAACCAAAACAGGAACGAAAUCAUCCUUAUAUUAUUUUAUAUUAUAUAAUUUUUUAAUUUUUUAUUUCAUUAAUUUUUAUUAUAUUCUGUUGAAUAUGAUUUUAAAAUAACAUUUAAACUGAAGUAAAUCCAACACUAAUCGUAGCCUGAAUAAUAAAUUAUUAAUAAAAUAUCUGAUAAAUGUUCAAUAAAAUAUGCUUUCCUUAGUUUCCCAUAAAAAGAAUAUCUCUAUAAUCCAACACAAGCAAAAGCCUACAAAUCAGCAGAAAGAAAGUAUAUGUGCAGAACAAAAAUAACAAACAUAAAAUGACUAAGUUAUGAAGUAAGUAAUUAAUUACUAAGUUAUUAGUUUAAAGAUAAUAUUUUUUCUUUUAAUUUCAAAUAUAAAUUAGUUAUUUGAAUAUGAGUUGUUAUAUCUAAUUACUUUUAUUUUAUUUUUUCUUGAUAAAUAAUGAAAUUUUAUUAAUGAAAAUUUUAGUUUGUACAUGCCUACGUUCCUUAGACUAAGAUUUCAUAGGCAAAUUAUGGAGAGAAAUAUUUUUCCAAGGUCAAGGCUUUACAAAUGUCAAUAUUCAAUUUUCACAACAAUCUAUUAGGGGAGGGAUUUUUGUUUGUUGGAGUAAAAUCUUUUGAAUGGAACUAUAUUAUAAUUUUUUGGUUAUUUCAUUAGAAAAUAAAAUUGUGCAUUUUUAUUUCGGUUUAUCAUGCUUUAUAUAUGAUACUUUUAUAAAGAAAAAAAAAAAAAAAAAA